UGCCAGCAGCCGCGGUAACACGGGGGGCGCAAGCGUUAUUCGGAAUUAUUGGGCGUAAAGGGCGCGCAGGCGGUUCGUUAAGUCUGAUGUGAAAGCCCGGGGCUCAACCCCGGAAGUGCAUUGGAAACUGGCGAACUUGAGUACGGGAGAGGAAAGUGGAAUUCCGAGUGUAGGGGUGAAAUCCGUAGAUAUUCGGAGGAACACCAGUGGCGAAGGCGGCUGCCUGGCUCAAUACUGACACUGAGGUGCGAAAGUGUGGGGAGCAAACAGGAUUAGAUA
rnacentral:rRNA from 1 species